AUAAGCCGCCGGAUCUCCUAGUGAGGAGGCCGGGACCGCCGGAUCUGGUGACCCCGGUCUCCUCGCCGGCGGAUCCGU
rnacentral:pre_miRNA from 1 species